rnacentral:rRNA from 1 species
GUCGAGGAUUUUUCUCAAUGGGGGAAACCCUGAAGGAGCGACGCCGCGUGAGGGAUGAAGGUCUUCGGAUUGUAAACCUCUGUCAUCUGGGAUCAAUGCGUACCACCUAACACGUGGUGCGUUGCUAGUACCGGAAGAGGAAGCAGUGGCUAACUCUGUGCCAGCAGCCGCGGUAAUACAGAGACUGCAAGCGUUGUUCGGAUUCAUUGGGCGUAAAGGGUGCGCAGGCGGUCCGGUCAGUCGGAUGUGAAAGCUCGAGGCUUAACCUCGAAGGGUCAUUCGAAACUGCCGGGCUAGAGGACUGGAGAGGAGACUGGAAUGGUUGGUGUAGCAGUGAAAUGCGUAGAGAUCAACCAGAACACCAGUAGCGAAGGCGGGUCUCUGGACAGUUCCUGACGCUCAGGCACGAAAGCCAGGGGAGCAAACGGGAUUAGAUACCCUAGUAGUCC